AUGUCCUUUUCAAGACUAACGAGUUUUUCUUGGAGCUGGUUUUAUUCAUCAAGAUCAAGGUCAUGUUCGCCUUUUAGAAUAUGUCUCUCCUUAGAAGGGUUACAAGGUGAAAAUACCUCACCACGACCAGCAGUCGUCAAGGAAAACAAGGAAGCACCCAAAUAUUUAUUGGAGUUCUUCUAA